UUUAAUAGGAAAAAUGAAAUAAUACUAAAAAAUUGUCAAAAAAGAACAAUUUCUGGCAUGGUGUUGAUUUAUGGGUAUAUAAACUUGGGAUAAAAUUGCAGGUUCAUACAGAAAAUCAACACAUUGUAUGUAAAAAUAAUUACUUAUCAUUUUUUAGAGACGUUUAAUAGACAAAAAUGAAAUAAUACCUAAACUUUGCCGAAAAUUAGUUAGUUUUGCCAUGGUGUCAUGUUAUAGGUAUCUAAACAUGGGAUCAACAUUACAAGUCAAAAUAAAAAAAUAAUAAACUUAGAAAAUCCUUGGCUAAACAUACAAAUAGAAAAAACAAACACAAAAAUAUGUCUUUUCCUGACCGAGCCACGGAUCGAUGACGUGGCAACAUCCAAGCCGCACAUCUCUCUCCCUGCACAUCUCUGCCUCGUGUUAUCUCUCUCGGUCUCUCCCCAAUAUGCACAUCUCCCUCUCGGUCCCUCCACCUCUCUGCCUUCUAAGUUCUCUCCACCUCACGGCAGCGACGGGCUGGGCGGGGGGGGCUGCGGCGCGACGACAGCACGACGGAAACGGGC
rnacentral:lncRNA from 1 species